rnacentral:rRNA from 1 species
AAUAGAUACCCCGGUAGUCCACGCUGUAAACGAUGAGAACUAGAUGUUGGUUGGCCACGCGCCAACGAGUAUCGAAGCUAACGCGUUAAGUUCUCCGCCUGGGGAGUACGGCCGCAAGGUUAAAACCCAAAGGAAUUGACGGGGGCCCGCACAAGCGGUGGAGCAUGUGGUUUAAUUCGAUGCAACGCGAAGAACCUUACCUACCCUUGACAUGGUUGGAAUCCUGCAGAGAUGUGGGAGUGCCCGCGAGGGAGCCAAUACACAGGUGCUGCAUGGCUGUCGUCAACUCGUGUCGUGAGAUGUUGGGUUAAGUCCCGUAACGAGCGCAACCCUCGUCCUUAGUUGCCAUCAAGUAACGUUGGGAACUCUAAGGAGACUGCCGGUGAUAAACCGGAGGAAGGUGGGGAUGAUGUCAAGUCAUCAUGGCCCUUAUGGGUAGGGCAACACACGUGCUACAAUGGCCGGUACAAUGGGAAGCGAAGCUGUGAGGUGGAGCAAAUCCUGAUAAGCCGGUCGUAGUCCGGAUUGGAGUCUGCAACUCG